rnacentral:rRNA from 1 species
UGGGGGAUAUUGCACAAUGGGCGAAAGCCUGAUGCAGCGACGCCGCGUGGGGGAUGAAGGCCUUCGGGUUGUAAACUUCUUUUGCUCUGAACAAGGCAUGCCUUUGGGGUGUGUUGAGUGUAGGGGUUGAUUAGCGCCGGCUAACUACGUGCCAGCAGCCGCGGUAAUACGUAGGGCGCGAGCGUUGUCCGGAAUUAUUGGGCGUAAAGGGCUUGUAGGUGGCUGGUUGCGUCUGUCGUGAAAGCUCAUGGCUUAACUGUGGGUUUGCGGUGGGUACGGGCUGGCUUGAGUGCAGUAGGGGAGGCUGGAAUUCCUGGUGUAGCGGUGGAAUGCGCAGAUAUCAGGAGGAAUACCGGUGGAGAAGGCGGGUCUCUGGGCUGUUACUGACGCUGAGGAGCGAAAGCGUGGGGAGCGAACAGG